rnacentral:rRNA from 1 species
UACAGAGGGUGCAAGCGUUAAUCGGAAUUACUGGGCGUAAAGCGUGCGUAGACGGUUAUUUAAGUCAGGUGUGAAAGCCCCGGGCUCAACCUGGGAAUUGCGAUGGAGACUGCAAGGCUUGAAUCUGGCAGAGGGGGGUAGAAUUCCACGUGUAGCAGUGAAAUGCGUAGAUAUGCGGAGGAACACCGAUGGCGAAGGCAAUCCCCUGGACCUGUACUGACGCUCAUGCACGAAAGCGUGGGGAGCAAACAGG